rnacentral:rRNA from 1 species
GACGUAGGGCGCGAGCGUUGUCCGGAUUUAUUGGGCGUAAAGGGCGCGUAGGCGGCCUGUUAAGUCGAACGUGAAAUCCCCGGGCUCAACCCGGGAACUGCGUCCGAUACUGGCAGGCUUGAAUCCGGGAGAGGGAUGCGGAAUUCCAGGUGUAGCGGUGAAAUGCGUAGAUAUCUGGAGGAACACCGGUGGCGAAGGCGGCAUCCUGGACCGGCAUUGACGCUGAGGCGCGAAAGCCAGGGGAGCAAAACGGGG